rnacentral:rRNA from 1 species
CAAUAGCGUAUAUUUAAGUUGCUGCAGUUAAAAAGCUCGUAGUUGGAUUUCGGGUGGGAAUGGCCGGUCCGCCGUUUCGGUGUGCACUUGCUACGCCCACCUUGCUGCCGGGGAGGUGCUCUUGAGUUCACGCUCGGGACACGGAGUCGGCGAGGUUACUUUGAGUAAAUUAGAGUGUUCAAAGCAGGCCUACGCUCUGAAUACAUUAGCAUGGAAUAACACGAUAGGACUCUGGCCUAUCUUGUUGGUCUGUAGGACCGGAGUAAUGAUUAAGAGGGACAGUCGGGGGCAUUCGUAUUUCAUUGUCAGAGGUGAAAUUCUUGGAUUUAUGAAAGACGAACUACUGCGAAAGCAUUUGCCAAGGAUGUUUUCAUUAA